UCUCGAAAUCCACACAAAAUAGGUCAAAUCAUGUCCUGUAAAUGAAGCAUCAUGGAUUAAGGCUGCAAAUGAGUUUAGUUGUUCAAAUCAUGAAGACAAAUGCGGAGGAAAUUUGAAAUAUCAUUGCCUUAUUAAUCCUUAACAAAAUGAAACAGUGGAAGUUUGUGCUCCUGCAACAAGUAUUCGUUCAGGUCACUGUGCCGAAUACAACACAAGAGGAGGGAAAAUACAAGAAUUUUAUCUCUCAAAUUGUAUUGCAUGCAAAAAUGGUUACAUUUCAACAGAGGCAUUUAAGUACCAAGAGUGUUAUCUAGAGGUAUACAAACCAAAACACAGAUUGCUGCAACAGCAAACAAACCGAUUAGACAAGGAAACAACGAAACACGAAUCGGGGCAAGAAACAA